GAUGAACGCUAGCGGUAGGCUUAACACAUGCAAGUCGAGGGGCAGCAUGGUCUUAGCUUGCUAAGACUGAUGGCGACCGGCGCACGGGUGCGUAACGCGUAUGCAACUUGCCUCACAGAGGGGGAUAACCCGUCGAAAGACGGACUAAUACCGCGUACACUCCAUCUUGGGCAUCCAAGGUAGAGGAAAUGAAAUUCGCUGUGAGAUAGGCAUGCGUCCCAUUAGCUAGUUGGUGAGGUAACGGCUCACCAAGGCGACGAUGGGUAGGGGAACUGAGAGGUUGAACCCCCACACUGGUACUGAGACACGGACCAGACUCCUACGGGAGGCAGCAGUGAGGAAUAUUGGUCAAUGGGCGAGAGCCUGAACCAGCCAAGUCGCGUGAAGGAUGACUGUCUUAUGGAUUGUAAACUUCUUUUAUACGGGAAUAACAAGAGUCACGUGUGACUCCCUGCAUGUACCGUAUGAAUAAGCAUCGGCUAACUCCGUG
rnacentral:rRNA from 1 species